ensembl:lncRNA FAM53B-AS1 FAM53B antisense RNA 1
GCUCCCCACAACAGACCUCUCAUCUGGAGCCAAGGGGAGAGAAGAGGAGGAGGAAGACCACAGAUGGACCCAAAGCACUGCACACUGGGUGGUUCUGGGCCCGGACAGGCCAGUAACAAAAAGCAGCAGAAAGAAGGAUACUUUCCAACAAAGCAAGGAGAGUUCAGGAAGAAAGCACAGAUUCUAAUCUGUGUGGCCACAAGAGAACACAUGGUAGAAUCCCUUCCAGCAAAGCCGCCUGCUCUCCCCUGACUGCUUUCCCUUUCUGAGAUGAGUUUUCCUUCCCUGGCCAGGGCUGGGAGGCCGUGCUCCUCCUGGCAGGGGCUCAGGCCACACCUCUUGGAAGAGCAGCUCAGCUGACCUUGGGCCCACAUGUCCUGGAACCAACUCUGAAGCCAACACCAGGCAGUCCCACCCUGAGAAGGGACCAAGCACAGAGGCGGCCACUGCAGCCAACUGCACAGCUGGACCCGGGUAGGGCUCCUCCCUCGGGACCUCCAGAUGGCUCCUCACCCUUGAGGUCCCUUCUUUUUGGUCAGAGCUACUCUAGUCGCACCCACUCAGUCGUGAACUGGAGCAGCAGCCAGAGAGAGAGUAAGACAAUGGUGAAUGAGAAGAGGCCAGGUGACAGGAACCUGCAAGCUCAUCCAUCCACAAACAUCCACUGAGCACCUGCCACGGGCUGGGCCCCGUGCAUUCAACAACAAUCUUCAAUGUGUCUUCAUUUGUUUGCAACCGCUGAACACAGCUAUCUGAUAUCACUGUGGCCUGGGACUCUCAGCUUCCAGCAAGUGGGAGCCCCACCUGGCUCAUCCACUUCAAAAGAGGAUUGCAUGCUAAUGAAUUAAUACAUACAAGAAAGUGUUGCAAACUCUACAAUCCUAUAUAAAUCUUAAGAAGAUUAGAAGUUUACCAAAUGCUCUGUAAUGCAUUUUGAAGGGCUAUCCCUUAAAAGAAACUGGAAAUCAGCAAGACAAGCUUUUCCUUCUUUUAGUGUCUUUAUUUAGCCUGUACGUACUACUUGCACACAUUAGUUUCACAGUUAAUUUUACCGCCUUAAAAACAGGACUCAGAUCAAAACCUAAACAUGAGAACUCAGCCACUGACAGUGAUUUUCCUGGUGGCUCCCGGAAGUCAUUGCUCUCAGAGCUUCCAUUUCCCCCUCCCAUUAAGCAAAGGAAAUAGGAGGGGAAGACAGCAAUUCCACAAGGUCUUUGUGCACUUUGAAACUUUCGUAGCUUCAGUUGUUGGUGUGACAAAAGCAAUCUGUGGGCAGAAUCCAGAAGCAAGUAUAUGAACAUUUGGGGAAGGGUGUUGCUUAGUGGGUCACGUUGUCUCCUGCCAAAUUCUGUGACAACCCUAAAGUGCGAGAAGGGUUCCGAGGGGAGCCGAAUGCUGCAGUCAAGCUUCAUAUCCGCCAAGACAAAGGGAUUUAAUCUGCUUGGGGACGCUUCUGCUUGCUGAUUUUAUAUACUAACUAAGUCAUCUGAG